AUUGGAUCCAUAGGGCAAGUGCAUAAAGAUUUAAAAAAAAAAAAAAGUGGGAAGAGACAGUGACACCAGGAGAGGUCCAAGGACAAAACCUUGGGGAAACGUGACACGUAGAAGUUAGGCAGAGAAAUAAAUCAGAAAGGGAAAGUGAAUAGUGACCAGAGGGAAAGGAGACCUGGAGAGAGCUGGUGGGGGGGGGGGNUCCCAGAGAUGUCAGGAAACAAUGUUUAGGAAGCAGGAGGGGAGUGCUCAAUUGUGUCAGAGUCUAAGACGAUUUCUAUCAUACCCACCAAGAGUUUCAUAGUGAAGUGAACCUGACUUUGCCUCCGAGCUUUGGGUAGGAGUAGCAACUGACACAACCUCUCCAAGAUUCCGAUCCAACUUCCUUUAAUUGGAGAAGAGCACUUAUCUCUUUCUCACAGGGCUAAAAUGCUUCACCUGGUGCUGACUGCAGAAAGCCCUCACCAAUGAUACCACCACCACUAUCAGGGAAAAUGAGAGAUGUGAUACACAAUUGUUCAAAAUACAGAGAUGCCUACUCUGAAAAAAUAAAGUCAUAAGAUUCUGCAGCAUUUAAUACUUUAAAGACAGAAGAUUGUGUGACUUCAAAAACAGUGAAAUUAUAGAUACCUGGAAAUGAGCAGCCUUUGUGUUGGAAGACAGGUAACUGGAAAUCAGAAGCUUUACGUACGGCUGGGUGAGGGACUUUAAAAUGAACAAAAACGAUGUUCAAACAAAGGGAUCUUGAGGACGCCUGUAUAAACAACAUCUUUACUUUAUGGAGAGGCCGAAUGUCUUAUGCAGAUCCCAUGUUCCCCAGUGCCAUAAAUCGCUAGGCCAACUUCAACCUAAGCCACGACACUCAGUGUCCACUAGUGAAAGAAUUAACAUUAGUGAAUAAGAAAUCCCAGUAAUGACCCUGAGGACACCACUGAAAGAGAAGACUUCAAUAACAGCUUCAGUAAGUCUGUGAUAUAUAAAGAUCAAGUUGGUCUAAUGUCCAUAAACAGGAAAAAGCAUUAAUUUGAGUUUCUUUUGUACUUACCACACAGAAUAACCAUUUAUCAGCCUAACUAAAAGGGUCCAUGACUUGCCAACUACUCUCUUGUGUGAACACGUUAAACAUGGC
rnacentral:lncRNA from 1 species